AAGUCUGUUGGAAAACAGCAUCAUGGACGGUGACAAUCCGGUUCUUGCCUGGGGUCCCGCGGCGUACGAGCCGUUUCCGACGAGUCGUGUUGCUUGGGAUUGCAGCACUAAGUGGGUGGUAAAUUCCAUCUAAAGCUAAAUAUUGGUGGGAGACCGAUAGCGAACAAGUACCGUGAGGGAAAGGUGAAAAGUACCCCGACGAGGGGAGUGAAACAGUACCUGAAACCGAACGCCUACAAGCAGUCGGAGGCUCCUUGAGAGCUGACGGCGUACCUUUUGUAUAAUGGGUCAUCGACUUGGUCUAUCUAGCAAGCUUAAGCCGUUAGGUGUAGGCGCAGCGAAAGCGAGUCUUAAUAGGGCGCAUGAGUUAGAUGGAUCAGACCCGAAACCGAGUGAUCUAGGCAUGAUCAGGAUGAAGGUAAGGUAACACUUACUGGAGGUCCGAACCCACACCUGUUGAAAAAGGUCGGGAUGAGUUGUGCCUAGGGGUGAAAGGCCAAUCAAACUCGGAGAUAGCUGGUUCUCCGCGAAAUCUAUUUAGGUAGAGCGUCAUCCGAAUACCCCGGGGGGUAGAGCACUGGAUGGGUAAUGGGGCC
rnacentral:rRNA from 1 species